rnacentral:rRNA from 1 species
UACGUAGGGGGCUAGCGUUGUCCGGAAUCAUUGGGCGUAAAGCGCGCGUAGGCGGUCAGGUAAGUCCGGUGUGAAAGUCAAAGGCUCAACCUUUGAAUGCCGCUGGAUACUGCCUGACUUGAGUCCGGAAGGGGCGAGUGGAAUUCCUGGUGUAGCGGUGAAAUUCGUAGAUAUCAGGAGGAACACCAGUGGCGAAGGCGGCUUUCUGGACGGUUAACUGACGCUGAGAC